UUGGCUUUUCCCUCUUUCCUUCAUUCAAUGCCCUCUUCAGUGUCCUUGCCUCGUCCAGUGCUCUCUUCAUCCUUGGCUCUUCGCAAUCUCUCCUUUAAUUCUCCCUCUUCGAUCACGUUUUGCCGGCACAGAUCUCUCUCGAUCAAUAGGGAUUCGUAACGGUCCCAGAUGUGAAAUGCACGUUGGUUUGUGGUGGCUAGCCGUCCUUCCUCUUUUAAGGAGUCUUGCGCGAUCGCCUCAGGUCUGUGCCUUCUGCUGUAGGACGAGUCUGCUCACUAUUCAGCGUGUGCUUGCAUGGCAGGUAGCUCGCGGGAUCCUGUUUUUUUUGGUCUUGAAUCUCCACUGUGCAGCUUUGGUUGGGUUUCUUUCCAUUUUUCUCAAAUCUUUUUUUUAUACGCGUUGAUCGUGCGCCCCCACACAUGAUACCCAAUCAAUCUUUGUGGCCAUUUUUUUAUUAAACAAUAGUGUUUUUUAUUGUUUCUCAUAUAAUAAUUCUGAUGAAGUUUACGUAAUUAUAGAGUGUAGGAAAAUCUAAUGUCAGAUGCUAGUCAUACGACUCAAUGGCUCUAGGAUUGUUCUCCCAAAACUUUGUCCAAUUAGAAGUUGCCAAUACGAUGGUACUCAUGUUU